CCGGGGCGGCCGUCCCUCCAGUCCCCUAGCUCGUUCGUGCUUCCGGGCCUACGAGCGGUGCGCGUUGCCUGUGCCGUCUACCCGGUCCCUCGGGAAGUCGACGCGACCCACACGACAGUCCGCCCCCCCGGCCUCGCCGUGCGAGGGGCGGCCGCGGCGCGGGCGUCGUGCGCCCCCGGACAAAGCGGCCGUCAGGCCCCCGUCCCGGUCGGGCUCCCGACGUCACGCGAGCGCUCUUGGAUGCGGCACAUGCCGCGGGCUUCGUGGACUUUGUUCCUCAACCCGGACCUCUCGGUCGGUCGUCGAGCCGCCCUCAUCGAGACGACGGUCGGCCUGCCGUCGAGCCCCCUCAGCCCCCCGUGGGCGGGCGGGCGCCCCGGCGGCGGCGCCGGCGUCGCGGAGGACGUGCUAC
rnacentral:misc_RNA from 1 species